rnacentral:rRNA from 1 species
GCUCAGGAUGAACGCUAGCGACAGGCUUAACACAUGCAAGUCGAGGGGCAGCGGGGGUGAUGGCUUGCCAUCACCUGCCGGCGACCGGCGCACGGGUGAGUAACACGUAUGCAACCUGCCCGCCACAGGGGGAUAAGCGGAAGAAAUUCCGUCUAAUACCGCGUGACGCGGCGCCGGGGCAUCCCGGUGCCGCCAAAGGGAUUACCGGUGGCGGAUGGGCAUGCGGCGCAUUAGCUAGUCGGCGGGGUAACGGCCCACCGAGGCGACGAUGCGUAGGGGUUCUGAGAGGAAGGUCCCCCACACUGGUACUGAGACACGGACCAGACUCCUACGGGAGGCAGCAGUGAGGAAUAUUGGUCAAUGGGCGCGAGCCUGAACCAGCCAAGUCGCGUGAGGGAUGACGGUCCUACGGAUUGUAAACCUCUUUUGCCGGGGAGCAAGCGUGCGUUCGUGAACGCGCGUCGAGAGUACCCGGAGAAAAAGCAUCGGCUAACUCCGUGCCAGCAGCCGCGGUUAUACGGAGGAUGCGAGCGUUAUCCGGAUUUAUUGGGUUUAAAGGGUGCGUAGGCGGGAUGCCAAGUCAGCGGUAAAAAUGCGGUGCUCAACGCCGUCGAGCCGUUGAAACUGGCGUUCUUGAGUGGGCGAGAAGUAUGCGGAAUGCGUGGUGUAGCGGUGAAAUGCAUAGAUAUCACGCAGAACUCCGAUUGCGAAGGCAGCAUACCGGCGCCCUACUGACGCUGAGGCACGAAAGCGUGGGUAUCGAACAGGAUUAGAUACCCUGGUAGUCCACGCAGUAAACGAUGAAUGCUAACUGUCCGGCUCGAAUGAGCGCUGGGCGGUACAGCGAAAGCGUUAAGCAUUCCACCUGGGGAGUACGCCGGCAACGGUGAAACUCAAAGGAAUUGACGGGGACCCGCACAAGCGGAGGAACAUGUGGUUUAAUUCGAUGAUACGCGAGGAACCUUACCCGGGCUCAAACGCAGGAUGACGGGUCCCGAAAGGGGUCUUUCUUCGGACAUUCUGCGAGGUGCUGCAUGGUUGUCGUCAGCUCGUGCCGUGAGGUGUCGGCUUAAGUGCCAUAACGAGCGCAACCCCUGUCCACAGUUGCCAGCAGGUAAAGCUGGGGACUCUGUGGAGACUGCCGGCGCAAGCUGCGAGGAAGGCGGGGAUGACGUCAAAUCAGCACGGCCCUUACGUCCGGGGCGACACACGUGUUACAAUGGCAGGUACAGCGGGAUGCCACGGGGCGACCCGGCGCUGAACCCGAAAACCUGUCUCAGUUCGGAUUGGAGUCUGCAACCCGACUCCAUGAAGCUGGAUUCGCUAGUAAUCGCGCAUCAGCCACGGCGCGGUGAAUACGUUCCCGGGCCUUGUACACACCGCCCGUCAAGCCAUGGAAGCCGGGGGUACCUGAAGUGCGUGACCGCGAGGAGCGCCCUAGGGUAAAACCGGUGACUGGGGCUAAGUCGUAACGAGG